GACGAACGCUGGCGGCGUGCCUAAUACAUGCAAGUCGAGCGAAGCGGGGACGGGUGAGUAACACGUAAGGAACCUCCGAUAAGCGGGGGACAACAUCCGGAAACGGGAGCUAAACCGCAUACUUAUGGAUGGCCUUGCGGUGUAUUAGCUCGUUGGUGGGGUAACGGCCCACCAAGGCAAUGAUGAAUAGCCGACCUGAGAGGGUGAGCGGCCACAUUGGUACUGAGACACGGCCCAAACUCCUACGGGAGGCAGCAGUAGGGAAUCUUCCGCAAUGGGCGAAAGCCUGACGGAGCAACGCCGCGUGAGUGAAGAAGGUUUUCGGAUCGUAAAACUCUGUUGUAAGAGAAGCGGUAUCUUACCAGAAAGCCACGGCUAACUACGUGCCAGCAGCCGCGGUAAUAC
rnacentral:rRNA from 1 species